AGGGUGUGGGAAACGGGGAGGGAUUUGAGGAGGGGAUCGGAAUGUGGCUCCAGUUCGGGAGGCGUUACCUGCGGAGGGUUUGAGGAAGGCCCAGGAGCGAGCCCAUGGUCUUCCGACGCGGGGCCAGGGGCGGGCCCCAGGAUCCGGAGCUUCGGGGGGGCCGAGUCCGGGUUUGGGGCCCGGGAGGCGGGGCCAGUUAGGUCGAGGGUCCCUGGGAUCGUCGGGUCAGGCCUUGGGCUAACGUAGGCACUCUCGCAGUUCCUCCGCCUUCAGGAAGGUCUUUUUAGCAGGGGCCUUACGGGUGCAUGCUUCGGUCCUGGAGGACUUAGGCUAGCCUCCUCUCCAUCAGCGCCACCCGUCUGGGGCCCGAAAGGAGGGAGCUUUCCCUCUGUCCCCCAGCCUUUGGACUGUCACCAAACAAGCCAUUCGUUCACCAAAUACUUUUUAAGCGCCUACCAUGUGCCUGACAAGGGAUAUGUAACGGUGAGAAAAACUAGGUGUGGUCCAGGCCCUUCAGGGACUCAGGGGCUCGUGGAAGAAGUGGAUAUUGAAGUACUUAUCACACAAAGGAGGAUAAAAGUACGAUAGCGAUAUCUACCACGAAGCUGUUGUUCCACACCAGAACCAAAUGAGCGCAAGAUCUGACAAAAAAAAAAGUCCCUGUAUCCUGAGAUGGAGUCACCUGAGAAUCCACAGCAAGUCCUAACCAGGGAUGGGUCUGGGUGAUUAAGGAAGAUUGGCUUCAGAACUGGGCCAGGGGCACUGCUUUGCUUUUGCUGUUUUGAUCAGCUCUCUGCCUGCAGGAGACGAGGAAAACCAAUGGGAACAGCCCAGUAAAGGCGCCAUUCCCCAUUUUACAGCUGGGGAAACUGAGUUACAGAGCUUUUCUGCACUGAGUCAUCAGGAGCAAAUGCUAGAUCAGGUAAUUGAACCCAAGCAAUCUGGUUCCAGAGCCAAAUAGAUGUAUGUUUUAUGGUAUACAAACAUAUACAUACAUUUUUAGGGGAAGGGUGGGGGUAGGAUGGGAUGAGGAUUAUGAGUAAUUGCUUGGUAAAUGCCAAAUACCUUUCUUGUCUGUCCCUCUUUUCAAAUGAUAAAGUAAUGUCAAUUGCACACUUUUUUUUUUUUUUUUUUGAGACAAGGUCUAGCUGGAGUACAGUGAUGC
rnacentral:lncRNA from 1 species